ACAAGAACCCAGGCGGGGCCGGCGAGCAGGUGACCUCCGUCCCUACCGGGAGGACCAGGGCGGGCCGGCGAGGUCGAGGGGGACCCGCGGGUCUGAGGGAGGACGGAGUGGGGGAGUGCUGAGGGAGGACCCGGGGUGGGGAGCUGAGGGAGGAUCCGCAGGGCUGAGGGAGGAUCCAGGAGAGCUGAUAGAGGUCCCGGAGGGCUGAGGGAGGACCCAGGGGUCCUGAGGGAGGACGCAGGGGGCUGAGGGAAGACGCAGGGGGGCUGAGGGAGGAUCCUCGGAGCUGAAGGGGCAUCAGCUGGGCUGAGGGAGGACCCAGGGGGACUGCGGGAGCACCCGGGCGGGGGCUGAGGGAAGGAGGAUCCGCGGGGCUGAGUGGGCACCAGCUGGGCUGAGGGAGGAUCCAGGGGGAGCUGCGGAAGGAUCUGCGGGGCUGAGAGAGGAUCUAGAAGGGGUGAGAGAGGUCCCAGGAGGCUAAGGGGGGAAUCUGCAGAACUGAGGGAGGUCCCAGGGGGCAGUGAGGGAGGAUCCAUGGGCGCUGAGGUGGGAAUCUAGGGAGGCUGAGGGAGGAUCUGUGGGGAUGACGGAAGUUCAAGGGGGGCUGAAGAGGCACGCAGCGGGCUGAGGAGGACCUGAGAGGCUGAAGGAGGAUCCGAAAGGCUGAUACAGCGGGGCUGAGGGGGGAUCCGCGGGGUUGGCGGGGGCUGAGAAAUGACCCUGUAGUUCACAGCAAAAUGGAGUAAUUUAUGUCACAACGUAACCAAAAUGGAGUGGGGAGGGCCCUAAGGAAGCAGCUGUCACGCAUUUCUGAAAUGC
rnacentral:lncRNA from 1 species